UUUCCUACGGGACGCAGCAGUAGGGAAUCUUCCACAAUGGGCGAAAGCCUGAUGGAGCAACGCCGCGUGGGUGAAGAAGGUCUUCGGAUCGUAAAACCCUGUUGUUAGAGAAGAAAGUGCGUGAGAGUAACUGUUCACGUUUCGACGGUAUCUAACCAGAAAGCCACGGCUAACUACGUGCCAGCAGCCGCGGUAAUACGUAGGUGGCAAGCGUUAUCAGGAUUUAUUGGGCGUAAAGGGAAAGCAGGAGGUUUUUUAAGUCUGAUGUGAAAGGGUUCGGAUUAACGGGAGUAGUGGAUUGGAAA
rnacentral:rRNA from 1 species